rnacentral:lncRNA from 1 species
GGGCACUUUAUGGUAAUGUGUAGUUCACCCAUUAUUUAUUUUUGCAUACUUUUUAAAUUUCCAAAGCAAUAUUUUUAUACACAAUGUCCUCCCAAUAGUAGUCAACUUCAGAGAUGAUUUAUACUGUAGCCUCAAGGAUGCAAGAAUAAGAAAGCAAAUCUCAAUGCUGGGUAGGUUUUUGCAGAUAUCUGUCACCAUGUCUAGCAAAAAAGCUCAAGGUUUUCAGUCCUUUUAAACAGGUAUUCAUUUAAAGCAAAAGAAAUAAGCUUUGGAAAAGCUCAAUUUUGAACCUUUCAUGUACCUCAUAUGUAAAAAAGCUUUAUACAUCUUAAAUUGUAGGCUCCAUGCAGUUCAUACUUGUCAGCUGUUUUAGGCAUUGCGAUUAAGUACUAAAUCAUAAUAGAUUCAAGAAAUCUCAUUUUUGGUAGAUGAUUAUUAAAUGGUUCUCAAAAUAACCAUAUGGACGUUAUACUAUCUGAAGGAUGGUGACUUGACAUACGUGGUGCAUUUAGCAUGUGCAGAGUUCUAAUUCUGUCCUGUCCUAAACAUCACAUAAUCAACCAGAGGGUGGAUUUGUUAAGGUACCUCAACAUGGCUCUGAGAAAUGAAAUCACAAAGAGACGAAGAGACUUAGAGGUGUAUCAUGUCAAAGAGGUAAUCAUUUGUGACUCUGCAACCUUUUAAGAUAAAAGAUUGUGUAUUUUAAAUUACUUCACUUAACUAAAGUAUGGUUUGAAAAAACACAGCUUUCUGGAUGGAAAGCAUCCAGUUAACACUGCUGUUCAGUACCUUGGUUUCUUUUUUUGGUAUAGGAAAGAUGUCAGUACUGACACAGAGUUUGUAAAAACUAAGUCCAGUAAUAAGAAGUGCUUGGGGGAAAAUUAGAUAUGGGUAUUCAUUUUACAUUCUUAAAUUUAUAUUCUGAUUUACUAAUAUCUACCCAGAAUCAAAGUUCUUUAUGUUAAACAAAAUGGAAUUUGCAUUAGAAAAUUUAUUCAUGAAAAUAAUCUUUUCAUGAAAAUCCAGAUUUUCUAGAAGAGAAGGAAGAUCUACUGAUCGUAAGAAUAUUCACAGUUUUCUCCUCUUGAUCAGGAGUCUACUUCUUCACCUUAUUUAAGAAACAACUAAUUCAUUAGCAUUUGUGGAUCCUAUAAUCCUAACAACAGCACUGUCACAUACAGUUUUAAUUUAAAAGGGGGAGGGACUAUUUCGAGAGAAAGCUGUUAUCAAGAUAAAGACAGUAACAACCAGAUUCCCAUGGACGUGCCUCCACACCCUCUGUUAAUCCUAAACUGAGUAAAGUGGCCCUAAGUUUUGCAAAGGAGCCUCGUUCCAUUAUAGAGAGCCCAGUGCUGCCUGGUGAAAAGACUGGGCAUCGUGGUGACAGAGAAUCCAACAAACAAGGACACUUAGUUUCUAAGAGUCUCUGAAUCUGUCCCUUAAAAGUAGAUAUCUUAGAUAGCAGCAUUAUUAUACUUUGUAUAAUAACAGAGAAAGAAAGUUAAUGAAAUUACAAACAGUACUAUGGUUCUAGACUUAGAGCAUGUUUUAGAUUAAGCAGCU